GACGAACGCUGGCGGCGUGCUUAACACAUGCAAGUCGAACGGAAAGGCCCUGCUUUUGUGGGGUGCUCGAGUGGCGAACGGGUGAGUAACACGUGAGUAACCUGCCCUUGACUUUGGGAUAACUUCAGGAAACUGGGGCUAAUACCGGAUAGGAGCUCCUGCUGCAUGGUGGGGGUUGGAAAGUUUCGGCGGUUGGGGAUGGACUCGCGGCUUAUCAGCUUGUUGGUGGGGUAGUGGCUUACCAAGGCUUUGACGGGUAGCCGGCCUGAGAGGGUGACCGGCCACAUUGGGACUGAGAUACGGCCCAGAGUCCUACGGGAGGCAGCAGUGGGAAAUAGUGCACAAUGGGCGGAAGCCUGAUGCAGCAACGCCGCGUGCGGGAUGACGGCCUUCGGGUUGUAAACCGCUUUCGCCUGUGACGAAGCGUGAGUGACGGUAAUGGGUAAAGAAGCACCGGCUAACUACGUG
rnacentral:rRNA from 1 species